rnacentral:rRNA from 1 species
GAUGAACGCUGGCGGCGUGCCUAAUACAUGCAAGUCGAGCGAAUGGAUUAAGAGCUUGCUCUUAUGAAGUUAGCGGCGGACGGGUGAGUAACACGUGGGUAACCUGCCCAUAAGACUGGGAUAACUCCGGGAAACCGGGGCUAAUACCGGGUAACAUUUUGAACCGCAUGGUUCGAAAUUGAAAGGCGGCUUCGGCUGUCACUUAUGGAUGGACCCGCGUCGCAUUAGCUAGUUGGUGAGGUAACGGCCCACCAAGGCAACGAUGCGUAGCCGACCUGAGAGGGUGAUCGGCCACACUGGGACUGAGACACGGCCCAGACUCCUACGGGAGGCAGCAGUAGGGAAUCUUCCGCAAUGGACGAAAGUCUGACGGAGCAACGCCGCGUGAGUGAUGAAGGCUUUCGGGUCGUAAAACUCUGUUGUUAGGGAAGAACAAGUGCUAGUUGAAUAAGCUGGCACCUUGACGGUACCUGACCAGAAAGCCACGGCUAACUACGUGCCAGCAGCCGCGGUAA